GAAACUUUUAAAAAAACUUUAUAAAAAGAAAGCGAUUCACUUUUAUAAACAAAAUUUUUUUUAAAGUUUUUUCAGAAGACUAUUUUGGAUUUUGAUUUUACUCAGGUUUCAUAACCAUAAAUUUUAAAUACUCUUCUAUCAACUAGCUGUUUACAAAGAAAAAGAAAUUUCCGAAACACGCCAAAACGUUUACGAAACAAAGCAGCAUUAAAAAAAAUAACAUCAGCUUAAUUAAAUAAAGAAAAGCUAAUAUCAAACACGUUUAACUUAAGCAAGAUAAAGAAAAUUGAAAAUAAACAUGCCAAACAAUCCAAGAAAAAUUAAAAAGUUACAAGGUUUGCUUCUUGUUUUAAUCAGUUUCCAAGUGGCAUUGCUACUAGAAAGGCUGAUAUUUGAUUCUUUGGGAAAAAUUUACGUUUUAAUUUUAACAACAUGUCUUACAUUACUUGCAAAUAUCAUUGUUGUAUUCGGAGUUUACAAACUCAACACAAAGUUUAUAAAAUUUUUUAUCAUAUGGUCUUUUUUAUGGAUAGUUUUAAACGUUGUUGUUGUGUUUACAUAUUUAAGAGUUGGUUCACUCUCCCAUGAGUAUAAAUGGUUAAGUUUUAAAAAAAAAAGCCAAAGUUGGUUUGCAAUCAAUGGUUUUGGCUGUAACUCUACAAAAAGCAUUGAGGUAGAUUCCUGCGUUAUUAAAUUUGAGUAUAUUGAAGCUGCUCAAAGUAUCUUACAUGUUCUCAUUGCUGCUGUAAAUAUGUGCUUAUCAUUGUGGCUUAUAAAGAAGUUAGAAGAAGAACCUACAGAAGAUCGAGAUCAUUUUAUCAACUCCAGUUUCCGAAUUCUCGAAAAUAAACAAUCGCGUCCUAUACCGCGAAAAAAGGAAUUUGCCAACCGUUGGAUUUAAAGACAACCAUUGGGUUCAACGACAAAUAUAUAACAAAAAUAUGCAUUAGCUUGUACUCACUCUAAAUCAAAGAUUUUUUUCUUAGUCUAAAAAAUCUGAAAAUAUAUGGGGACUGGAUGCUAACGUUAAAGACUUAGUAAGAAAGAUUCGCCUAAUUAUUGUCAUUAUUAUAGUUGAUCUACGCGAUCUGCUCUAUUAGAUGCAUACUUCACUGCACCAGUCUAUACACGUCAGUUGAUCUCAAAACGUCACCUAAAAACGUACAAAUGCAUACAUUCGUACGUUUUUAGGUAAACCAUUCGGAGGUUGGUUAAACACAGUGAAUACGUACGUGGUAUCUAUUAUUCACUCCUUGAUUUUUUAUAUAUUUUUUUUAACAAAAGCGAUGAAUUUUA